GUCUGACGUCACGGACUGUGACCCCGUGACCGAGACCGGAUCCGAGCGGAGCGGAGCGGCGGAGAAACAACGCCGGAAAAAAACGAGUGAAACCGGAGGAAUGAGCUUCGAGUCGACGCUUUAUCAACACAAACUUCAGCGCGCGCGUUUCUCUGGACAUUCAAACAAGCUCGAGCUGUUUCUGUCGAAGAAGAGAGAAGCUGGACGCUGAGCACAACGGUCUUUACUUGUUGAUCGGCUGCAGCCUGGACAGAAACACCAGCUCUGACCUCACAGUCCAAACAGGUGUGACCACUUUAUCCACAGCUGCAGAGAGUCGUCAUGAAGAAAAAGUUCUCUGAGACCAGACGAUCCCUGACAGAGUCCUGAAGGAGAAGACGGCAGCAGCUGGAGAUCCUGAAGAAUCUGAAAUGGAGAAAGAAAAUGAAGAGGAAGAUGUUGACUGGACACCAUCAUUCACUAAUGUAGAAAAAUGACCAAUCAACCAACUGAUCUACUACUCUAACCAGCUCAUCUAAACAAAAUUCAUUUCUUUAAUCAACAAAUCUAUUCCAAAGGAAAUCUAAAUGUCUACACCCGUCAUCUGUAUCUGUCAAUCAUCUAUUGCUGUGUGUCCUGAUUUGGUAAGGAAAUAAAAAUAUUGUCCUAAUUUCA